CAACAUAUUUAGAAACAUCUCUGAGCUCUCUCCAACUUCAUUUCAGCCCUCCUAAGAACCGGGCUUUCACCCAGUCAGGAACAUCCAAGUUCCUCUUAGGAUUUCACUUCAAGCAACAUUCAGUGGCAACUUAAGAAGAUCAGAAGAGUUCUGCAGGACCAGGCCAAAGGCCCAUCUGGUCCAGGAUCAGGCUAGUCAGAUGCCUUUGGGAAGCUCACAAGCAGGAUCUGAACACUCCCUCCUUAUGAUUCCCAGAAACUGGAAUUUGGAGGCAUCCCUAGCGAAGGGAGAAUUUUUCAGCACACACACACACACCUUCCCCAAGCUCUGGUGGGUAUCUCAUUCCACACAGCCAAGAGUGGGAGGCCUCCAGCUAUCAGGAGACCCCCUCACCACCCUAGUUGCCCUGCUCUGGACACACUGUCACCUGUCAAUGACUAGCAUUUGGUCCCCAGUCAAAGGUAGACUGCCUCUGGCCCAGGAAGUUCCACGAGAACCUCAGAAGAGCCUGGCUGCUGGAUCAGGCGAAUGGCCCAUCUAGUCCAGCAUCCUGUUCUAAACAGUGACCAAGCUGAUGCUUCUGGGAAGCGAUUCUGGGAUUCAGAGGCAUGGUGCUUCUGACCAUGGAGAGAGAGAGAGGGAGAGAGGGAGAGAGAGACUCUCAAGGAAGUUGCUCUUACCUUGUUCGAUGGAAUGCUGGAAUGAAGAGAUGCGCUUGAGAGUUGUUGCUGAAGAUGCUGUGAAGCACCGCUGCCUUUUAUACGAUUUUUGGGGGCAGGCCACAGGAUAUGAGGCGUAGCUCUUUCCACUGUAGGGUUUAAUUAUUUCCCAACUUGUAUUUGAUCUAUAAUCUCCACAUUGCCCCAAUUAAUUGGACAUAGAUUUUUUUUGGCUUAUUAUGAGCUGUGAGUUGUUCAGCAUCCUUACAUGUUGUUAUCUCUCUUUCUCUCUCUCUCUCUUUCUCUCUCUCUCGUUUAACUCCACCCUGCUUGUAAUUGUCAUUAGCCCUUGGUAAAAUUCCCAUGGCUUCAAAAAAUUCCUAGUAAAUAGGACAACAGGGCAUCCCCACCCUUGGAGAGAGCCCUGCAAGUUGAACCAACUUGGUGGCAUCUAUCUGAACUGGAUCUAAGACAUAUGUCUGAGUGGGAGUGUCAACACCAGAUUAUUUCUCAGGCAAAUCGUUAUUCACAUCGGGCUAGCUUGUAACAGCUCUUAACAGGUAAGUGAGAGCAGGGAAUAGGAGGAACCUCGCAACUGUACCAUCCCUAACAGAUGGCCUUUCAACACCCCUUCAGACAUAUGAAGAGCCCUAUCCUGUUGAUGCUAAAUGGACUCCAGGUGCUUAGGAGGCUGCCUUUUGCCGAGUCAGUUCAGGGGCCCAUCUAGCUCAGUAUUGUCUACACUGACUGGCAGCGGCUUUCCAAGGUUUCAGACAGGCCCCACGCUGUUACAGGCGCCACACAAUACACCAUUACUCUAAUUUUAUUCAUAUAAACCGUAGGUUAUUACAAAAAAGUUUGAAACCAAGGUAAGCUAAAUGAAACCAUCGCCUUUACAAUUGGUGGAGACAGACCUUGGGAACUUUGCUCUGAUCUUCUUGGCUGUGGUAGCAAGCAAAGCCACUUGCCUGGUAUUACGCGGAUCGUUAUCCUGGAGCAGGAUGAAUAUUUUCUCAGAGAAUGUUCUGCCGGACACUGUUUUUUAACAGAGGAACAAUCACUUUCUUUCUAGGAGAUAAUGGCAACUCACAGACCAGCAUAUAGUGAGCAAUAUUCUCUAUUUGCAGAGCUCCGCAAAUGAGAAUACUCAUUUCACCCUUGCAAUAAGUGGUUCUUUUAGCGGGGCAGCACCGACACUUUGGAACUUCCUGCAUUUGACGUUAGGCAAGCGGCUUCUCAAUAUUCUUUUCAGAACCUGCUUAAAACAUUUCUGUUUGGGUAAGCCUUUCCAGACACACAUGGACGUUGACGGGUUUUUAAUCUCUUUUUGGUUUACUGCUGUUUGAAUUGUGUGCUUAUUUUUUUAAAAAAAAUGUUUUAAUUACUUGUUUUUAACCGUUGUAGUGACAAUUUUGUAGUGUUCUUGUUAACCACUUUGAAGUGUGUGGGGUUUGUUUUGUUUUUAUAAUCAAGCAGUAUAUAAAUUCUGUUAAAUAAGUAAAAAAAAUCAUAAUUGCACGCAGGAGGUUCAAGGUUCAGUCCUCAGCAUCUCCAAGUAAGGCCAGGAAAGGCUCCUGUCCGAAAUCCUGGAGAGCCACUGCCAGUCAGUGUAGACAAACAUGGAGCUAGGUGGACUCAGUAUGCUGCUUCCUCUUUUCCGCUUUGAACCAGUCCUUUAUUCAGAACCAUAAGGACUAGAAUCUUGAUUUCUUUUUAGGGGAAGGGCCGUAGCUUAGGCUUGGAGACCAUGCUUUUCAUGCCACAUGCCAUGGGUUCAAUCCCCAAUGGGAUCUCCAGACAGAGCUGAGAAAGACCCCUUCCUGAAACCCUGGAAAGCUGCUGCCGGUCAGUGUAGACAGCACUGAGCUAGGUAGACCGAUGACCUGACUCUGCAUAAGGCAGCUUCCCAUAAUUCCCAAGGGCAAGAAGAUGAUUGCAAUCUUGGCAUGGCGGAAGUAGGAAUUAGGGAUGGUGUGAUCUGUAAAUUUCAGUUCUCUCGUUCAUCUGAUCUUAACUUCGGUCCUCCCCAUUUCUGCGGCGAUUUGUUUUUUUUUUUUUUUUUUAAAAAUCCUCAUGAAAAUUCUUGAGCAUUUUAGUGCAGGUCUCCUAACAAGGAAAAAAAGAGGCAAUUUUGACUAACGCACACAUUUCUGCAAGCCAUUUAUCCAAAUAUAAAGCACGUUCAUGUGUUAUGUUCACUGAUAGAUUCACUUUGUGUCCACUGUCCCCUAAUAUGAUGGCUGGAGAUCUGCAUCGCAGAAUUUGGAUCCGUGCAGAUUUCGAAGGACAGCCCAGUUUUGGUUCUCACAUAGUUUUGGAAAAUGCUAAUUCUGUAAAUUUGGCUUUAAAUGUGAGCGGGAUUGAAUUCCUCCCCUUCCCUAGCGGGAAUACAGGAACAUCUGGUGGGCAGCAAGGUGGCUACUCCUGAUCUGAAAUUUGACUCAGGGAACCUCCUUGCUCAAACCUAUGGUCCCUCGCCCAAAGACCCAAUGGGCCAGUCAUACAUGCUCAGCCUCCGCUCUGCAUGAACAGAUGUUUCCGACAGGGUCAGUUGUGUCAGCAGCUAGGGAGGAGGCGAGGGAACUCACAUGUGGUUGUUUUCGAAAACAGGAUUCCGUAAUUCUUGUAAUGCUCAGUUCCACCCUCAGACGCUGUCAAACAUCACAUGGGGAAAAGUCAUUAACAGCCCACUAAAACCACUGGACUAAGACCUGUUUACAUCACAGGCCUAGUUAAAAAAAAAUCCAGGAGAGUUUCCUAACUCUAUUUUAAUUUGAAUCAAAUGCCUUUAGAUGCCAUCGCAAUGAAUUGCUUGGGGUGAUUUGAAGAUAGGUACAAAAUGUCUUAAGUGGAUAUGCCCCCCUCAAAUAAUCUAUAUUGCCGUUCAUUGGUGGGGGUAGAAUCCAAGAAUUAUUCUAUUAAAAAUGAUAACAUUUUGCAUGCGCAAGAGAGGGGAAAAGUACCUAUGUGACUAAUUAAAGGGUUUGCAAAGUGGUUUGAAAUCCUUUCUAUAGAAGGAAGCUUGGGGAAAACAAAAUCAAAACCACCACUCAGCCUCCGCCCUAACUCUGGCUGUUAUUCCCAUUUCUAUCUGGGAAUCAUCCGAGGCUCAGCAAAAUGAAGUCAUAAAGGGAGGUGAUGGAAGGAGGGAGGGGGAAAAAUUGUGAAACGUUGCAAGAUGAAUCCAGAAACCAGGCUGCCCCGGAAGGGAUUGCAACGUUAAGAUGUUCGUUUUUGGAGCUAAAAUGAGAAGGAAGCUGACCGACAUUGAAAAGACGCAGAAAGAGAUGAAAUACACAUACUUACAGACACACACAUAUAUCUAUUCUGCAGCAAUUCUUGAUUUUUUUAAAAGAAUCCUCACGAACAUUCCCCAGCAUUUUAGUGAGAAUCCCUCCUAAUAGACAUAUUUUGUAGGUAGUUUUGACUAAUGUACACAUUAUUUUGCAAGCCACGUCUCGCUUAAUGCAUUUUUUGCAUGUUAUUUGUAUCUGCUGGUCUUUGACCAAAACAAAUAUUUUACUUACUUACUUGCAUGUUAUUUUCACUCAUAUAUUUAUUUUUAUGCACACUUUCCUGUAAUGUAUGCAUUUUUGUAAACAUUGCUUGGCUGCAGACCUGCACUGCAAAAUUCAAGUAAGUGUGGAUUUCAAAGAAUGGCUGUUUUGAUUGUCAUAUUGUUUUGGGGAGUGCACUCAUCCCAUACCCUCACUCACACACUCACACACUUACACACUCACUCACACGCACACACAUACACAUGCUAUAUUAGGGGCAGGGAACCUGUAGCUGGUGCCCAUUGAAACUGGUGGGGCAGAAGGCAGGGAGAUCGAUAGUAAGUGGAGCUAGAGACAACAACAAGGGACAGCCACCCUCUGACUGGUUGUAAGUAAGAAGACAGACUGAGGUUGGUAGGGCAGAACCUCAUUCACCCCUUACAGACCAGCCUCCACUGCUGUAGCCCUCCAGAUGCACCAACUCCACCAACUUUGACCAUAUUGGAGUCCAUCAUCAUCAUCAUCAUCUGGAGGGCCACAUAUUCUCCAUCCCCGUGUUAUAAGAAUACACUCAACGUUACUCAUAUCCAAAAUAGACCCAUUGAAAUGAAUGGCCGUGGCUAACGUAGGCACCUUGGUUUCAAAGGGUCUACUCGAUGGCUUUGUCAGCUAAAACCCUUGGUUUGCACAUGGGAAGCUGCUUUGUUUUUAAGGAGUACAUGAAGUCCGUAUAAUCAACAUAAAGCUCAAUCAAGAGUGUAUAAUCCCUGGCCGUGGAUUCAUCCUGAAGUUUGUUUAGACUUGUUGAGUUGAGGCUGCAGAAGACUGUUGCAAUGAAACACUUCUGGCUAAGAAAGAUUCACUAUGGAAGACAUUUGAGCAGUGUAAACUGGAUAUGCCCAAACACGUUACGAUGCAUGGACUAAAGGUCUGAAGCAGUGGUUCCCAAACUUUUUUUCUGCCAAGGACGACUUCAAAAUUGCUGAGAGUCUUGGCAGACCACUUAAUAAAUGUGGCAAUUGUAAUGCAUUGUAGCAGAUGCUGAUUUCUUACAUGGUGUUUCAUUGAAUCCCUAGAAAUCAUAUUCUUCACAGACAUGCUGCAAUGCAUCUGAAAGAAGCUUGUGGACCACUGGUGGUCCACAGACGACAAUUUGGGAACUCCUGGUCUAAACCUAUCUGGUUUGUUUUGAAUGUAUAUCAAAUAAUUAUAUUUAAAUGUAUCCCUUGGUUUAUGAGAUUGUUUUGAAAUUGUGACUUUAGUGCAGAUAACAGAUUUGUAUUAAAUGUAGAACCAAUCAACACAGAGUACAUAAAACUGAACACUUGCUUUCUGUACUCAGCACUUGAUAUUUGCCUUCAGUGUACCCCUAAAUCUAUUAAACAUGUUUAUAUCUCAGAAAUAAAGAUAUAUCACAAACACA